rnacentral:rRNA from 1 species
AAUAGAUACCCGGGUAGUCCACGCCGUAAACGAUGAGUGCUAAGUGUUAGAGGGUUUCCGCCCUUUAGUGCUGCAGCUAACGCAUUAAGCACUCCGCCUGGGGAGUACGGCCGCAAGGCUGAAACUCAAAGGAAUUGACGGGGGCCCGCACAAGCGGUGGAGCAUGUGGUUUAAUUCGAAGCAACGCGAAGAACCUUACCAGGUCUUGACAUCCUCUGCCAACCCUAGAGAUAGGGCGUUCCCCUUCGGGGGACAGAGUGACAGGUGGUGCAUGGUUGUCGUCAGCUCGUGUCGUGAGAUGUUGGGUUAAGUCCCGCAACGAGCGCAACCCUUGAUCUUAGUUGCCAGCAUUCAGUUGGGCACUCUAAGGUGACUGCCGGUGACAAACCGGAGGAAGGUGGGGAUGACGUCAAAUCAUCAUGCCCCUUAUGACCUGGGCUACACACGUGCUACGAAUGGAUGGUACAAAGAGCUGCGAACCCGCGAGGGUAAGCGAAUCUCAUAAAGCCAUUCUCAGUUCGGA